rnacentral:miRNA from 1 species
CUCGGUUCAAAACUGAACCGAAAAUGCAAGACUUGCUUUAAUUGUUUUCUGUCAGUGUUUAUACGUAUUGAUCUAGCACAGUGUAAAUAACAUGAUUUCCAUUAUAGUAAAUAAUACAGAAAGAAAUUGAAGGAAAACAAUUAAAGCAAGUCUUGCAAUUUCGGUUCAGUUUUGAACCAAG